rnacentral:rRNA from 1 species
GGGUUGUGAGGUUAAGCGACUAAGCGUACACGGUGGAUGCCCUGGCAGUCAGAGGCGAUGAAGGACGUGCUAAUCUGCGAUAAGCGUCGGUAAGGUGAUAUGAACCGUUAUAACCGGCGAUUUCCGAAUGGGGAAACCCAGUGUGUUUCGACACACUAUCAUUAACUGAAUCCAUAGGUUAAUGAGGCGAACCGGGGGAACUGAAACAUCUAAGUACCCCGAGGAAAAGAAAUCAACCGAGAUUCCCCCAGUAGCGGCGAGCGAACGGGGAGCAGCCCAGAGCCUGAAUCAGUGUGUGUGUUAGUGGAAGCGUCUGGAAAGGCGCGCGAUACAGGGUGACAGCCCCGUACACAAAAAUGCACAUGCUGUGAGCUCGAUGAGUAGGGCGGGACACGUGGUAUCCUGUCUGAAUAUGGGGGGACCAUCCUCCAAGGCUAAAUACUCCUGACUGACCGAUAGUGAACCAGUACCGUGAGGGAAAGGCGAAAAGAACCCCGGCGAGGGGAGUGAAAAAGAACCUGAAACCGUGUACGUACAAGCAGUGGGAGCACGCUUAGGCGUGUGACUGCGUACCUUUUGUAUAAUGGGUCAGCGACUUAUAUUCUGUAGCAAGGUUAACCGAAUAGGGGAGCCGAAGGGAAACCGAGUCUUAACUGGGCGUUAAGUUGCAGGGUAUAGACCCGAAACCCGGUGAUCUAGCCAUGGGCAGGUUGAAGGUUGGGUAACACUAACUGGAGGACCGAACCGACUAAUGUUGAAAAAUUAGCGGAUGACUUGUGGCUGGGGGUGAAAGGCCAAUCAAACCGGGAGAUAGCUGGUUCUCCCCGAAAGCUAUUUAGGUAGCGCCUCGUGAAUUCAUCUCCGGGGGUAGAGCACUGUUUCGGCAAGGGGGUCAUCCCGACUUACCAACCCGAUGCAAACUGCGAAUACCGGAGAAUGUUAUCACGGGAGACACACGGCGGGUGCUAACGUCCGUCGUGAAGAGGGAAACAACCCAGACCGCCAGCUAAGGUCCCAAAGUCAUGGUUAAGUGGGAAACGAUGUGGGAAGGCCCAGACAGCCAGGAUGUUGGCUUAGAAGCAGCCAUCAUUUAAAGAAAGCGUAAUAGCUCACUGGUCGAGUCGGCCUGCGCGGAAGAUGUAACGGGGCUAAACCAUGCACCGAAGCUGCGGCAGCGACACUAUGUGUUGUUGGGUAGGGGAGCGUUCUGUAAGCCUGUGAAGGUGUACUGUGAGGUAUGCUGGAGGUAUCAGAAGUGCGAAUGCUGACAUAAGUAACGAUAAAGCGGGUGAAAAGCCCGCUCGCCGGAAGACCAAGGGUUCCUGUCCAACGUUAAUCGGGGCAGGGUGAGUCGACCCCUAAGGCGAGGCCGAAAGGCGUAGUCGAUGGGAAACAGGUUAAUAUUCCUGUACUUGGUGUUACUGCGAAGGGGGGACGGAGAAGGCUAUGUUGGCCGGGCGACGGUUGUCCCGGUUUAAGCGUGUAGGCUGGUUUUCCAGGCAAAUCCGGAAAAUCAAGGCUGAGGCGUGAUGACGAGGCACUACGGUGCUGAAGCAACAAAUGCCCUGCUUCCAGGAAAAGCCUCUAAGCAUCAGGUAACAUCAAAUCGUACCCCAAACCGACACAGGUGGUCAGGUAGAGAAUACCAAGGCGCUUGAGAGAACUCGGGUGAAGGAACUAGGCAAAAUGGUGCCGUAACUUCGGGAGAAGGCACGCUGAUAUGUAGGUGAAGUCCCUCGCGGAUGGAGCUGAAAUCAGUCGAAGAUACCAGCUGGCUGCAACUGUUUAUUAAAAACACAGCACUGUGCAAACACGAAAGUGGACGUAUACGGUGUGACGCCUGCCCGGUGCCGGAAGGUUAAUUGAUGGGGUUAGCGCAAGCGAAGCUCUUGAUCGAAGCCCCGGUAAACGGCGGCCGUAACUAUAACGGUCCUAAGGUAGCGAAAUUCCUUGUCGGGUAAGUUCCGACCUGCACGAAUGGCGUAAUGAUGGCCAGGCUGUCUCCACCCGAGACUCAGUGAAAUUGAACUCGCUGUGAAGAUGCAGUGUACCCGCGGCAAGACGGAAAGACCCCGUGAACCUUUACUAUAGCUUGACACUGAACAUUGAGCCUUGAUGUGUAGGAUAGGUGGGAGGCUUUGAAGUGUGGACGCCAGUCUGCAUGGAGCCGACCUUGAAAUACCACCCUUUAAUGUUUGAUGUUCUAACGUUGACCCGUGAUCCGGGUUGCGGACAGUGUCUGGUGGGUAGUUUGACUGGGGCGGUCUCCUCCUAAAGAGUAACGGAGGAGCACGAAGGUUGGCUAAUCCUGGUCGGACAUCAGGAGGUUAGUGCAAUGGCAUAAGCCAGCUUGACUGCGAGCGUGACGGCGCGAGCAGGUGCGAAAGCAGGUCAUAGUGAUCCGGUGGUUCUGAAUGGAAGGGCCAUCGCUCAACGGAUAAAAGGUACUCCGGGGAUAACAGGCUGAUACCGCCCAAGAGUUCAUAUCGACGGCGGUGUUUGGCACCUCGAUGUCGGCUCAUCACAUCCUGGGGCUGAAGUAGGUCCCAAGGGUAUGGCUGUUCGCCAUUUAAAGUGGUACGCGAGCUGGGUUUAGAACGUCGUGAGACAGUUCGGUCCCUAUCUGCCGUGGGCGCUGGAGAACUGAGGGGGGCUGCUCCUAGUACGAGAGGACCGGAGUGGACGCAUCACUGGUGUUCGGGUUGUCAUGCCAAUGGCACUGCCCGGUAGCUAAAUGCGGAAGAGAUAAGUGCUGAAAGCAUCUAAGCACGAAACUUGCCCCGAGAUGAGUUCUCCCUGACUCCUUGAGAGUCCUGAAGGAACGUUGAAGACGACGACGUUGAUAGGCCGGGUGUGUAAGCGCAGCGAUGCGUUGAGCUAACCGGUACUAAUGAACCGUGAGGCUUAACCUUACAACGCCGAAG